CCCUUAGAUGUUCUGGGCCGCACACGCGCUACACUGAAGGGAUCAGCGUGUUUUCCCUUUCCGAGAGGAACGGGUAACCCGCUGAACCCCCUUCGUGGUAGGGAUCGGAGCUUGCAAUUGUUCUCCGUGAACCAGGAAUUCCCAGUAAGCGCAAGUCAUAAGCUUGCGUUGAUUACGUCCCUGCCCUUUGUACACACCGCCCGUCGCUACUACCGAUUGAACGUUUUAGUGAGGUAUUUGGACUGGGCCUUGGGAGGUUUCGGCCUCCCUUGUUGCUCGGAAAGACUUCCAAACUUGAGCGUUUAGAGGAAGUAAAAGUCGUAACA
rnacentral:rRNA from 1 species